rnacentral:rRNA from 1 species
GAUGAACGCUAGCGGGAGGCCUAACACAUGCAAGCCGAGCGGUAUUGUUUCUUCGGAAAUGAGAGAGCGGCGUACGGAUGCGUAACACGUGUGCAACCUGCCUUUAUCUGGGGGAUAGCCUUUCGAAAGGAAGAUUAAUACUCCAUAAUAUAUUGAACGGCAUCGUUUAAUAUUGAAAGCUCCGGCGGAUAGAGAUGGGCACGCGCAAGAUUAGCUAGUUGGUGAGGUAACGGCUCACCAAGGCGAUGAUCUUUAGGGGGCCUGAGAGGGUGAUCCCCCACACUGGUACUGAGACACGGACCAGACUCCUACGGGAGGCAGCAGUGAGGAAUAUUGGUCAAUGGGUGCAAGCCUGAACCAGCCAUCCCGCGUGAAGGACGACUGCCCUAUGGGUUGUAAACUUCUUUUGUAUAGGGAUAAACCUACCCUCGUGAGGGUAGCUGAAGGUACUAUACGAAUAAGCACCGGCUAACUCCGUG